rnacentral:rRNA from 1 species
UACGUAGGGUGCGAGCGUUGUCCGGAAUUAUUGGGCGUAAAGGGCUCGUAGGCGGUUUGUCGCGUCGGGAGUGAAAACUCAGGGCUUAACCCUGAGCCUGCUCCCGAUACGGGCAGACUAGAGGUAUGCAGGGGAGAACGGAAUUCCUGGUGUAGCGGUGAAAUGCGCAGAUAUCAGGAGGAACACCGGUGGCGAAGGCGGUUGCCUGGAGCUUUGCUGACGCUGAGGCGCGAAAGCGUGGGGAGCGAUCCGG